CAUGAGAAAACAACAAAUCAUGAGAGAAAGAGAAGAUCCAGGAAGACACUGUACGACAGAUGAAUCAAUGGAUAUAAAAGAAAAUUUAUGCAAUACUACUCACGUCGUCUGCGGCACUAACGUCGACGCCCCGCAGUAAAAGGGCCUCGCACACUUCCACGUGACCACCUGCCGCGGCCAGCAACAGGGGCCCCCGGCCAUUCUGAAACACGACAAGAAUUCUGAACAUCCUCGUGCGACUCAUGCUGAAAACGUAUUUCUUCGACCGGAAGACUCGGAAAGGCGGCCGCAUCGAGACUGGUCGCAUCGGGAGAAAGCUGCGAAUUGUAAGCGGUUCUCCAGGAACCCAUAACAGUGCCGGCACAAACCAUGGGCUCGAUAAAAUCCAGAAUUAGAAUAGCAACAGAGGCUUUAAGCCUUAAUAAAAG